rnacentral:rRNA from 1 species
CCUACGGGAGGCAGCAGUGAGGAAUAUUGGUCAAUGGGCGGGAGCCUGAACCAGCCAAGCCGCGUGAGGGAAGAAGGUACAGCGUAUCGUAAACCUCUUUUGUCAGGGAACAAAGGCGGGGACUCGUCCCCGGCUGAGGGUACCUGAAGAAAAAGUAUCGGCUAACUCCGUGCCAGCAGCCGCGGUAAUACAGAGGAUGCGACCGUUAUCCGGAUUUAUUGGGUUUAAAGGGUGCGCAGGCGGCCUGUUAAGUCAGCGGUAAAAGCCCGGGGCUCAACCCCGGCGAGCCGUUGAAACUGGCGGGCUGGAGUUGGAGAGAAGUACGCGGAAUGCGCGGUGUAGCGGUGAAAUGCUGAGAUAUCGCGCAGAACCCCGAUUGCGAAGGCAGCGUACCGGCUCCACACUGACGCUGAGGCACGAAAGCGUGGGUAUCGAACAGGAUUAGAUACCCCUGUAGUC